CGGGAGGAGGCAAGACAACUAGCGGGCGGCGAACAGAGCAGUCGGAAGAAGCAGGUCAUGCCUCGGUGGUGGACUUUGCAAGGGAAGGGGAGAGGGAGGGCGGUGUUUCUGGCUGUACAUGGCAACUCAGGCGGUGCGAGUUCCUGGUAUUAAGCCGCAGUCUAGUGUCUUGUGUGAGGGAGGCAAGCGCUGCCAAAAACCUUCCCCCUUCACCCCCAUCGUCUGUUAUCCCUGUGUUAUUGUCGCCUUGUCGUCCGGUGAUACGUCGUCUGGUGAAGCGGUGAGCCACCACACCUGUGAACCCGCGUGCCGCUGACCCGCUGAACGCCACCCUAACUAAAGCAGCAGUAUACGCCCUCACUUGAGCCCUCGAGCCAUCUGAGACCCCUGUCCUCAUCCACUAACGGUAGAAUUGGCACGCCUGGUACAGCCAGUCUGCGCACCGAGCCAUUCUAGUGUUGGUACUCGUGUCUACUCCUCCACACGUAAACAUAUGGAAGUGGCGCCGCCCGUGUGCUAGUGUGUUGGCAGCCUUCAGGAGCUUCCAGAGACGUGACACUUACCUAUUU